rnacentral:lncRNA from 1 species
CAGAACCAAACACACACUUGCAUUCACACAACACAAAGUUCUAAACUUUGAAAUGUCAGAAACACACAACAUGAUUCCAAACACCACUGAAUCUCAACUCAUAACCUUGUCCUUCUUCACUUUCACUUCCACUUUCCGGUGAGUUUUUUGCCUUUCAUUGUUCCCUUAGUUUUAGUUCUGCAAUACUUGUUUUAUUUAUUUUUUCAACAUUUCAUGUUUUUUUUAAGGUUGCUAUGUUUGAAUGUAACAAUGGUGUUUUAUUUUAAGUGUUGAACUAUUACAUUGUCAUCUCAAUAGUCUUAAAAAUCUAAUUUUUUUCCAAAAAGGAACUUUUUUUAUUUGUGUGGUUAGGAAAACUCAUUUCAUCAAAUGUAUUAUUGUGCAUGAUUUUGCAACUUUUUUUGCUUUUUUGUUGAUGAAAGAAUGAAGGGUCACUAUUAGAUUGAUGUGUAAAAGUUCAAAAGUUGAACUCUUUUUACAAUGGAAUUAUCAACAAACACUAAACCAGUGAAACCCAACUCAAAUAUAUCAGAAAUGGUUUACAAAUUUGCCAAAGUUUGUAAAUUGAAAUCUAUUGGGGUUUUCUCAUCUGAAAUCCCUAAUCUUCAACAUUUGCAUAAACCCUUUUUCAAUGAGGUGCUUCUGAGUGGAAAUAGUAGUGAAGAGAUCAAAUGCAAUGAUAAAAAAGUUCAUGCUCAUAACAUUGAAGUGAAAAUCAAAGAAGAUGCUAAUGGUGAUUUGGUGAUCUUGAAUAAGAUAUUUGAUUCUGUUUUAGAUUUGAAAUUUGCAUAUCUUAAGCUUCAACAAGCUCACAUCCCUUAUGAUCCGAAAAAGAUUGUUGCUGCUGAUGAUCUUGUUGUUGCUGAGAUUGAGAAGCUUUGCAAGUUCAAGAGUGAGUAUAAGGAGAAGGAAUCUAAGAAGGCAAUUAUCAAUGCUCAACUUUCUGAUCUUUUGCUGAAAGAGAUUGUCGUUAAAGAAGUUUUUCUAGGGAAACUUAAGACUCGAAAAAGUGGGAAAGAUUCAAAGCUUCUUCGGUUGCGGCGAUUGCUUCAUGAUUUGGAAAUAGGGAACACAAAUCUGAAUGAGAAAAUCAGACAGUUAAGGUUAGAGGAUAGGAAAAAAUCAAGUGUUUUGAGUGUUGAUAAGUUUCAAGAUGUGUUUAAGACUGCUUCAAAAUCUAUUCAUGAUUUCACGAAACCGUUGAUUAGUUUGAUGAAAGCUUCCGGAUGGGAUCUUGAUAUGGCAACAAAGUCGAUUGAAAGCGAUGCUGUUUAUUCGAAAAGAUGCGACAAGAAGUAUGCUUUUGAGGCCUACAUUGCGCGAAGAAUGUUUCAUGGUAAUGCAUUAACUUCUUAUGAUGUGAGUGAUGUUCUGAAGUUUGAUGACCCAUUCGAAGCACUGAUGGAAAAUCCAGACUCAGAUUUUGCGAAAUUUUGCCAAGCAAAGUAUCUUCUGGUUGUUCAUCCUGAAAUGGAAGUGUCAUUCUUUGGCAGUUCAGAUUACCGAAAAUUCAUAAUGAGUGGCAAGCAUCCAAGAACGGAGUUCUAUCAAUUAUUUGCGAAAAUGGCGAAAUGGAUUUGGAUUUUACUAGGUUCUGCAGUCACAAUCGAUCCUAAUGCAACCAUGUAUUCUGUGAGCAGAGGAAGCAUGUUCUCAAGCUUGUACAUGGAAUCUGUUGAGGAAGAAAACAUGUUCGCGGUUCCUUCAGACGAAGAACGAGCGACCUAUAAAGUUCAGUUUAUGAUCAUGCCGGGGUUUAAAAUUGGACCAAUGUUUGUGAAGUCUCGAGUUUAUGUUUCACAAUAUCAUUCAAGCUCAAUGGUGGCUACUUUAACCGGUAAUUUGGCUAACAGAACCACAUAAUUUGGUGUUUGAAUACUUCUGAUGGUACCUUAGCUAGAGCUUUGAUCCACAAGCUCUAUAUUUUGUAACCUUAAUGACCUGAAUACCUGAUAUAUCUUUAGUUACUUUAAUUACUGCACUGUAUUUUCUUUUAACCCCUUUAAAAUUUCUCUAUAAACUGUAAAUAGAUGGUUAACUGAAAUUUUUAUGAUGGUUUGCAGAAGUGGAUGACUAAACUCCUGUUGAUGUAUUUAUAAAGUGUUUCUUAUAAACCUUAUGCUCAA